UCAUAGGGUUGAGUCUCAAUCAUCCAUCCAUCCAGCCUAAAGUUGGCGCGGUCAUUGCUCGGUUUUCUGCGCUUCAUUCGCACAUUUACGUGCUUAGAACCAUCGAGAAAAAAAUUCUUAGAACUGAGCGACAUGUUACCGGGUGCAGCACGUUCCUCUGGAUGUCAAGUGUUCCGCUUCACAGCUGAAAGCCAUAGGUCAAGGCAGCCAACCACAGGAAGAGCUCCUUCUUUGAACCUCUGAUGGCCCCCACACUACGGUGUGACAGACAAAAGCUUCAUGAAAGAAUUAGCAGUGCAAGAUGGGCGAGCUCGUCACCUUUCUCUGGAAUACGCAAUCAGCACUUGUUACUGUAUGGCUUACACAAGCCAUAGCCUUCGCUGCACUGUGUAGGUUAUCUGGUAGUUCAAUACAUUUGUCAUUUCUCUUUC